rnacentral:lncRNA from 1 species
GGAAAGGACUGCUGAUUGGUUUCUUGGGGGCUUUUAAGUCAACCCUCCUCCACCCCUACCUCUACCAUGGUGCAAAUCAGUCACUUCAGAAAUAGUUCAUUCACUACUUCCUGUGCAGGAGAUAAGAAAUGAAAAGUGUGGUUUAAUUGCUCCCAAGGUGAUUAAAUUGCCAUAUUGACCAGACUGACACACAUCUAAUAAUUUGAGGCCAAUAUAAAAGACUGUGCAGCUGAGUGCUAAUUUGUGCAAAGAGAAAGGAGACAUUGGUGUGGGCUAGAAUAGAAGCUUCCACAGGCAUUGAACAAACAGAUGGAAUAAUGAGCUGGUUUAUGCAUUGGAACAAGACAAGACCAAAUGAGUUGUAGGAGAGGACAGUGCCAUCUUCAAAAGCAAGCACAACUGCAAGAGUUGAGUGCCCAGAUCAAUGACUUCCUCUCCGCCAUGACCCUUUCUACCAUUACUCAUGAUUUCAAUAUCCAUUUUAGGAACCCAUUUGACAUCCUGGCCUUUCAGCUUCUUAUCAUCUUCGUGCUCUGAUUCAACAUAGCUACUCUUGUUGUUGAUCAGUGACAACCUCACCACCCCAGAAAUGACUGUACUUGGCUGUGAGUAACAAAGUCGGCAGCAACAGCUUAAACAAGUAAGUGUUUAUUGUUCCCACAUCAUAGGUAUUCUGGAGACCAGUGGUCCACGCUGAUGAAGUGGCUUCAUGAUGUCAUCAAUAUCCCUGGCUCCUCUUUCUGCAAGCAGCUUUUACUCCCUGGCUCCCUCUCAGUCACAAGGUAGAGGCCCCACUUCCAUACUCAAUCUGCAGACCAGCCAGAAAAAAAAAAA